GGAUAGAUGGCCGAGCGGUUAAGGCGUGUGACUCAAGAUCUAGGAUCUUGCUCGCUAUCAAGCGAGUUGAAUCACCUAAUCAGGUUUCUCAUGGGGCAACCCGCGUGAGUUCGAAUCUCACUCUAUCCA
rfam:Xylona heveae TC161 unplaced genomic scaffold L228scaffold_8, whole genome shotgun sequence.